rnacentral:rRNA from 1 species
ACGGGAGGCAGCAGUGGGGAAUAUUGCACAAUGGGGGAAACCCUGAUGCAGCGACGCCGCGUGAGUGAAGAAGUUAUUCGUAAUGUAAAGCUCUAUCAGCAGGGAAGAGAAUGACGGUACCUGACUAAGAAGCCCCGGCUAACCACGUGCCAGCAGCCGCGGUAAUACGUAGGGGGCAAGCGUUAUCCGGAUUUACUGGGUGUAAAGGGAGCGUAGACGGUCUGGCAAGUCUGAUGUGAAAGGCAGGGGCUCAACUCCUGGACUGCAUUGGAAACUGCCGGACUGGAGUGCCGGAGAGGUAAGCGGAAUUCCUAGUGUAGCGGUGAAAUGCGUAGGUAUUAGGAGGAACACCAGUGGCGAAGGCGGCUUACUGGACGGUAACUGACGUUGAGGCUCGAAAGCGCGGGGAGCAAACAGGAUUAGAUACCCUGGUA